CCAGUGGCGGACGGGUGAGUAACGCGUAAGAACCUGCCCUUGGGAGGGGAACAACAGCUGGAAACGGCUGCUAAUACCCCAUAGGCUGAGGAGCAAAAGGAGGAAUCCGCCCAAGGAGGGGCUCGCGUCUGAUUAGUUAGUUGGUGAGGCAAUGGCUUACCAAGGCGACGAUCAGUAGCUGGCCCGAGAGGAUGAUCAGCCACACUGGGACUGAGACACGGCCCAG
rnacentral:rRNA from 1 species